AGUGCAGUGGAAGGGACACAGGCUUCAGCAGCCCCAGAUUGGAUCUCCUGCCUAGACCCCUAUUGAAGAGUGACCUUGGGAACCCUGAUGUUGGCCAUGAGACCUUGCACAUUUAAAAUGAUGCUGAGAGUGAAGGAGAAUGAUAAGUGAACUCAGGAAGACAUGAUGGCUUCUGCAAUGACACUCAUAGAUGAAAUACAGAAUCCAGCUCCAACUCUUAGGAUUGGAAACUAAGCACAAACAAGUGGACAACGGUUGGGACACAAGUUAUCUCAAAGGCUUCCUCACAUGUCUGGAAGGUUCCUGGCCUAGACUCAGCACCAAGAAAAGAGCGAGAGAAAAUGUCCCUGGCGCCCCAGGUGCAUGCCCUUUUCCAGACUCAAAGAAAUCUGCAGGCAUUAAUCUUCACAGUCCUCUCUGGUGGAAGACUGCAAGGGCAAGCCAGAGCUGAGCUGGAAUGAAAAGAUUCUGCCUGGGUGAAGUUCCUACGAAUACCUUUCCCACAAAUUGCAUCCUUUCCUCAAACUGUCUGGAUCAUUUUGUAACCCAAGUGGCUUUCAUCAAAACAAGGGCCUGCCACCAGGUGCUGACCAUUUAUUGACCCGUGAUGGAGCUGCACCUCCUCACUCUCCUCUGGGCCUCUGUGCCAACCUCUGUAGCCAGUGAAUGAUGGUGUCAUUUUCCAAGACAAAGAAGGUAAGAAAAAGAGCUGAUUUGCGGGAUGAGAUGGAGGAUGAAGAAAAAAUAUCAAUGUCUGUGAGGUAUCCAAACAGAGUAGGCUCAGCAGCUCCGGCAAGAGCUCUGGGCUGAGAAGGGAACGGAUUCUGCUGUACAGCAAAGCUGGCUCAAGUCCGGGGAGUGAAUUAAGAUCAGAGAGAGAGAGAGAGACUAUUCACACUGUAAAGAGAAGAGGGAUAAUUUCAGGUUCUUAACGAUGGCCAACACUUCACAAUCCAUCCCUUUCAUUUUUCUCUUCUGUUUUCAAGCUGGUUUGCAUCAAAAUGGUAAUUCUCUCCUUUUAGGAUUUUAAUGCCAGCUGCAGAGAAUUCUGUGUUUCUGUUUAUAAUUGUUUAAAGAUCUGAUUUUGAGAAUAGUAUCUUCAACAACUGUUUGCAACCACUUUGGAGAUCUGGUUGGAACAUAGUUUUUCUCUGUUAAAGCGAUUGUCUAUGGAGCAUCGCAGUCUCCUGAUAACUGGCACAUGGGUCUCCCACUCUACUCUGUCCUGUGGUAGGGAAGGGGCAGGAGGCUUUUCAUGACCUUCGAACCUAAAGGCAAGCAUAAUAUCUAGAUUUUGUGCUGCUAAAAAGACCCCCUUCUCUUCUCAGAAGUUCUCAACUCUCUUCCUUCCUUCUUUCCUUCCUUCCUUUUGCUGCACCCAUAGCCUGUGGAAGUUCCUGAGCCACGGAUCAAACCCCACGCCAGCAACCCAGGCUGCUGCUGUGACAGUGCCAGAUCCUUAACCCACUGCACCACAAGAGAAUUCCUAUCAACUCUUAUACUUUCUAUGUUACAGGAUAAAUGGUCCCCUGGUCUGUUACAGAACAUUUAUUAAAGUUUUGACAUCCCAAACACCAAUUGAUAAUAUUUUUGUGCAUAGGCUUAUGUUUCUUUAAAAACCAUUUUCUUAGGACAGUGACAAAAUCCCCAAAGUUAUAUAAGGUAGAAAAAAGUGAUGUGAUCUUGAAAAGUAAUGAAAUAAAAUUGCUUCAGUGUUUAUCACUAUUGUGAUAAAAUGGUUACAUAAGACUUGAGAGUAUUUUUCCAUUUAUCACAGCACAUCCAUAAAUUUAUUCAUCAAACACUAGUGUUCCACGGCACGCGGUAUGAGAACCAUACCAUUGCGAUGUUUUGAUUGUCCACAAUUCCGUGUUCACCAUGUGGGACUCUGAUAUCAUUAAAUUUAAAAGGCAAUUGCAGAAAAGUAGAGAGGUGACCUCAGAAAGCUGGUUAGCCCUGUCCUUCAGAACUACUGGCCUUGUCCUUAGCACCCUUGGAGAAAGCAGGGCUCUGGAAGGCUAUGGACAGACCUUGCAAAGACUGCAAAAUAGGAGGCAGCUGGGCAGUGCUCUGGCAGCAGCUGCAGCAGUUAGAGUUGUAAGAGCGGUCAUUAGAUAGGCCACCCAGAAGGCAGAGUAGCCAAGCCACUGAUUGCAACCAGCCUAGUUUGCAACAGGGCCCACCGCCAUAUCACAGAUGUGAGGGGUGGAGGAGGCAGGUGCCACGUCCUGGCCUCAUCUCCCGCCGUGCUUGCAGAUGCCAGCGGCAGCAGCCAUGUUGCAGAACUGUGUUACUCUCCCUCUCUGAGAACAUGUGAAUGUGUGUAAUAUAUUGUUAAAGGAUAUCUUUUUAAAAGGGUAAAAUCUUGCUGUCCUACAGAUAUAAAAUGAACAUAUGUUUAAAUAUUGUGUUUAAAUCAAUAUAUGAGUGAACCAAUAAGACGUUAUGACUGGUUUAAAGAAUUCCAAGAAGCACACGGAAGUAGAGAUAAGGACUUUAGAAAUGCAUUUACUAAGAGAUGCAAGAUGUGUCCGCCCACUGUGCAAUAAUCAGUUAAUUUGCAUUUCUAUGGAUAUGAAUAAUUUGUAUUAUUGUCUGUGUUCUCCAAUUCACAGGGUUAUAAAAUAGCUCAAAGACAAUGAAAGAUAGAGAGAAUGCCGAAGGGUGAGUUGCUUAGAAUAUUUUCCAGUUCAUAGUAAGUUCAAUGUAAGUUUUAGUGAUAUUUAUUAUUACAAUAAUAGUGUAUUUAGAAUCAGACAGGCUUGGGUUUGAAUCUCAUCUCAGGCACUCACUAAUUGGGUGACCUUGGGCAAGGAAGUUCAUCUUUCUUAGCCCAGUUUUCUUAUCAGUGUGCCAUUAUUUGGGACUAGUGAGGAGUAACUGGAAUAUUGUUUGUAAAAUACUCCAUAGGGGGAUUAGCACAGAGUAAACAUUCAAUAGUGGUAGCAUUAUUUUUAUUACCAAAAUUGGCAAUUUUAAUAAUGCUGAAACUUCUGUUUAUAUCACUAGCCAUUGCUGUUUUCAUUAUUGGUGUAAUCAGCUAAAAUUUUUUUCUGAUAUAAUGUUUUAAAUCA
ensembl:lncRNA